UACGGGGGGGGCAAGCGUUGUUCGGAAUUACUAGGCGUAAAGGGCUCGUAGGCGGCCAACUAAGUCAGACGUGAAAUCCCCAGGCUCAACUUGGGAACUGCAUCCGAUACUGGUCGGCUUGAAUCCGGGAGAGGGAUGCAGAAUUCCAGGUGUAGCGGUGAAAUGCGUAGAUAUCUGGAGGAACACCGGUGGCGAAGGCGGCAUCCUGGACCGGCAUUGACGCUGAGGCGCGAAAGCUAGGGGAGCAAACGGG
rnacentral:rRNA from 1 species